rnacentral:rRNA from 1 species
GGGUGCGUAGGCUGAUUUUUAAGUCAGGCGUGAAAUCCCAUGGCUCAACCAUUGAACUGCCCUUGAAACUGGGAGUCUAGAGUUCAGAAGGGGGGGAUGGAAUUCCUGGUGUAGGGGUAAAAUGCGUAGAUAUCACUAGGAAUAUCAAUGGCGAAGGCGAUCUGCUGGGAUGAUACUGACGCUGAGGCACGAAAGCGUGGGGAGCAAACAGGAUUAGAUACCCUGGUAGUCCACGCCCUAAACGAUGUCAACUGGUUGUUGGGGCUUCACUGACUCAGUAACGAAGCUAACCCGAGAAAUUGACCCCCCGGGGAGUACCGGCCCCAGGAUUAAACUCAAAAGAAUUGACGGGG